rnacentral:lncRNA from 1 species
UGGCUGCUGCCAUUGUUGUUUUUAGUUAUGUUAACCGUAGGAAACUGCUAGACUUUGAUGACUUUCUAUCUGCAACAAUGACAGUUUUGUAUGCUUCCCCCUAAUAAUCGGUCACAGGUUUUGGAGGACAGCUAAUUCUAGAAAAAGGAAACAGCACAUGUAAAAGUACCUGGCAAAGAAAGGAAACAGAAACCCCACAGAGAAUCACGCACAAGUGAAAAGAGGAGAGGCCAAGGGAACAAUCAAAGUUUCCACCCCUGCAAAUCGCAGCCGCUUGGUCAGCUUUUGCACCCAGAUCCACUGGAAUGUG